UGUAUAUAGGUAUAUACAUGUACAAGGACGCCCAAUAAAGAAAUUAUCAAACUCUAAACAAAUAUACAGAUAUACUUAUAACUUAAAAAUAACUACUUAUACCUAGUUUUUAAUUUGAAAUAUUUGGUUAGUGUUUGCUUUUUACUGGACGCCCUGCACAUAUUUUUUUAUAGGUUAAAUUGUGUACGUGGUUUUUCAAGUCAACGCACCACUAUUUGUCAGGUCGUAUCGUUUAUUUUGUAUCCUGCUCUUGGUACCUAUAUGAUCCUGAGCACAAUUUAGCUGAGAUUUACAUUUUUAAGUGUAUAUAAUAAUAUAUAUUUGUACAGGACGCUCAAUAAAGAGAUGGCCAAACUUUAAACAAACAUAUAACUUUCAUUUAAAUUUUUCUUCCAAAUUAUCAAUUUUCAAAUAUUUGGUUAACGUUUCCUUUGCUCUUUACUGGACACCCUGUACAUAAGUUUAGAAGGUCUCACGUACCUACCUAUACGUGGUUCUACAUAAACCACACGUCCACACUACCACAAAAUAUUAUGCGCUUGGUAUAAAGUCGCAAGCGGAAUAUAAUAUUUAUAGAUUAUUGAUACGUGAAAAAUGGAAGCCCGAAUUACUUCAGGUACAUUUCAGUGAAGCGCAGCCCGUCUAGCAGAUCCAGUUACCGGACGCACAGAGUGAUUGGAAGUCCUUCGGGCUUCCGGUAAAUGAUUUGAUCACACUGAUGUUUCAAUUUACAUACGAGUAAAUCUUUGUUUUGUUUUUUCUUGUUUUUUGGUACUACGUAUACGAAUGUUGUCGAACUUUAUGAAAAUGGGCCUACGGAUUGGGCGGACAUUUGAAGCAAAGCAAAUUGUAUAAAUUAAUCAUUAUAGUUUCAAGUACUUACUAUAUUUCAACAGUGUGUUUAAACUAUCAAAAACUUACUUAACAAUUUAGUUGAUGGAAAUAAACAAAUAAUAUUACUAAAUAAA